GUUAGCGGCGGACGGGUGAGUAACACGUGGGUAACCUGCCUGUAAGACUGGGAUAACUCCGGGAAACCGGGGCUAAUACCGGAUGCUUGUUUGAACCGCAUGGUUCAAACAUAAAAGGUGGCUUCGGCUACCACUUACAGAUGGACCCGCGGCGCAUUAGCUAGUUGGUGAGGUAAUGGCUCACCAAGGCGACGAUGCGUAGCCGACCUGAGAGGGUGAUCGGCCACACUGGGACUGAGACACGGCCCAGACUCCUACGGGAGGCAGCAGUAGGGAAUCUUCCGCAAUGGACGAAAGUCUGACGGAGCAACGCCGCGUGAGUGAUGAAGGUUUUCGGAUCGUAAAGCUCUGUUGUUAGGGAAGAACAAGUACCGUUCGAAUAGGGCGGUACCUUGACGGUACCUAACCAGAAAGCCACGGCUAACUACGUGCCAGCAGCCGCGGUAAUACGUAGGUGGCAAGCGUUGUCCGGAAUUAUUGGGCGUAAAGGGCUCGCAGGCGGUUUCUUAAGUCUGAUGUGAAAGCCCCCGGCUCAACCGGGGAGGGUCAUUGGAAACUGGGGAACUUGAGUGCAGAAGAGGAGAGUGGAAUUCCACGUGUAGCGGUGAAAUGCGUAGAGAUGUGGAGGAACAC
rnacentral:rRNA from 1 species